rnacentral:lncRNA from 10 species
GAAAAUCUUAAUUAAAUACACCUUGUUUAACUAAAUAGAGGCAGCAAGAGGGGGGAGUUGCCCUGGAUUAUUUUUGUUUGUUUGUUUUGGGGUUUGUUUUUUCUGAUUAUAAGAGCAAUAUAUGAUCAUGGUAGGAAAAUCUGGAAAAUUAUGAAGCUUUCUAUGUUCACAGAAUGAAUAUAAAACAAAAAAGUACAUGUUUUAGGUGGCUAGUUUUACAUUUAUUAAAUGUAUUACUUAAAAUAAAAUGCUUUAAAUGCCCUAACAAUAAGUGCUGGCUGGUUAAUCUCCCUCUGAGGAUCUCAGAGCAAUUUACCAAUACCCCUGCUCUGACUGUAAAAAGGGUAUGAUGAGUCUUCCGGACUUUAAAAGCAUAUUGAUCCUUUCAAGCUCUUCAAGUACUCAGCACUGAUUAAUUCAUUGGAAAGUAGUCUCAAAAGGGCAUUGUUCUGAUGCAGUCUAUGCUUAUAACUUUGUGGACUCCUUUGCUGGCAACCAAGACCCACUCAGAAAAUUCUGGGUCAGAAAAUAGAAGGCUAGCAUUUAAAGAUCCUCAGUUAAGUAUAUGGCCAAUUCAUUUUUACUAAAAUUGUGUUCUCUUGGGCAGCACAUAUACUAAAAAAUUGGAACAAUACAAAGAAGAUUAGCAUGGCCCCUAUGGAAGGAUGACACACAAAUUCAUGACACAUUGCAUAUUUUAAAAAGAAAAAUUAAUAAAUAAAAUUAUUUUGCUAAUGGGGUUUCCUUCUUUGCAUGUCUAUGAAUUGGAGACAGUUUAGCGCUUCCUAGCAGUCCUGAGCCCUGGGAUUCCCUAAAUGUGGUCCCUGAACAAGAAGCAUUAAUAUUACCUGGGAAUAGCAAUCUGUGUUUCAAUAAGCCCUCUAGGUGAUCCGGAAGCACAUGAAAGUUUGAGAAUCACUGUCUUAGCUGUUUUCCCCCUGAAUGCAGAAAUUAGCUCCAAUUGACUCAUGCUGUCAGACUUCAUUUACGUGUGUAUACCUGGAUCUGGGGGAUGAUUAUAUGGGGACACAUGUCCAUAAAAAUUCUCUGAGCUUUACACUUAAGAUACAUACAUUUUACUGAAUUUAAUUAAACCUAAUGAAAAAAACAACACUGCUAAAUUAUAUUUCUAAGAAAGUUGGUCGGGUUCAGCUUGUCUCUUGAAUAAAGGUGGUGAGAUCCAAGGGCCU